AUGGAGCUUUAGACACCAGGCAGAUCACGUCAAAAACCUUGAAUUAACAAGUAAAAACGCAGUGACCCCUAGCCCAUAUGUCUUUGGUUGGGGCGACCGCGGGGGAAAAUUAAGCCCCCAUGUGGACUGGGGGCACUGCCCCCACAGCCAAGAGCCACAGCUCUAAGCACCAGAAUAUCUGACCAAAAAUGAUCCGGCAAACGCCGAUCAACGGACCG
rnacentral:rRNA from 1 species